GACGAACGCUGGCGGCGCGCCUAACACAUGCAAGUCGAACGGAGCUGAGAGAAGCUUGCUUUUCUUAGCUUAGUGGCGAACGGGUGAGUAACGCGUGAGUAACCUGCCCUGGAGUGGGGGACAACAGUUGGAAACGACUGCUAAUACCGCAUAAGCCCACGAUCCGGCAUCGGAUUGAGGGAAAAGGAUUUAUUCGCUUCAGGAUGGACUCGCGUCCAAUUAGCUAGUUGGUGAGGUAACGGCCCAUCAAGGCGACGAUUGGUAGCCGGACUGAGAGGUUGAACGGCCACAUUGGGACUGAGACACGGCCCAGACUCCUACGGGAGGCAGCAGUGGGGGAUAUUGCACAAUGGGGGAAACCCUGAUGCAGCGACGCCGCGUGGAGGAAGAAGGUUUUCGGAUUGUAAACUCCUGUCGUUAGGGACGAUAAUGACGGUACCUAACAAGAAAGCACCGGCUAACUACGUG
rnacentral:rRNA from 1 species